rnacentral:rRNA from 1 species
UACGUAGGGUGCAAGCGUUGUCCGGAAUUAUUGGGCGUAAAGAGCUCGUAGGCGGUUUGUCGCGUCUGCUGUGAAAACCCGAGGCUCAACCUCGGGCCUGCAGUGGGUACGGGCAGACUAGAGUGCGGUAGGGGAGAUUGGAAUUCCUGGUGUAGCGGUGGAAUGCGCAGAUAUCAGGAGGAACACCAAUGGCGAAGGCAUAUCUCUGGGCCGUAACUGACGCUGAGGAGCGAAAGCAUGGGGAGCGAACAGG